rnacentral:rRNA from 1 species
UACGGGGGGGGCAAGCGUUGUUCGGAAUUACUGGGCGUAAAGGGCUCGUAGGCGGCCAACUAAGUCAGACGUGAAAUCCCUCGGCUUAACCGGGGAACUGCGUCUGAUACUGGAUGGCUUGAGUGUGGGAGAGGGAUGCGGAAUUCCAGGUGUAGCGGUGAAAUGCGUAGAUAUCUGGAGGAAUACCGGUGGCGAAGGCGGCAUCCUGGACCGGCAUUGACGCUGAUGAGCGAAAGCUAGGGGAGCAAACGGG